rnacentral:lncRNA from 1 species
AUGCAGCAGGGCUGGGGAGGCAGCUGGCCACCAUGGCAGCCACAGUGCCCCAGGGCCACUGCUCUGACCCGGCCCCUCCUGCAAAGACCCCAUCGUCAUUUGGUGCUCAGAGAGCAGCCCUGUCUGUGGAGCUUGGAUAACACGACUCGCAUGAUUCUCAGUCGGAACUGGAACAAGGUUAGGAUUCAGGGUGAGUGGGUCCUCAGAGUUGACAUAAUUACUGAUCUAAUUCAUGCUUGUGGGGCUGCAUCUCGGCAGCAUUCCUUAGGACACAAGAAGCCACGGCCAGGGAUUAAACCUUUGUCCUCACUGCUAUUAGUUGAGUUUGUUAACCACUGAGCUGCAACGGGAACUCCAGGCUAUAGAUUUUUUUAUGGAGAUGCCCUGGUCAAAACUUCUGUCCUUCUGCCCCAUUCUGGUGACAGGGUCCUCAUGGCUGCCCUAUCCUGGGAAUUCCCUAGAAUUGUCUGUGCCCUGUUACCCUCUCCUUCCCCAGAGAGUCAACCUCAGACUCCAGGCAGGACAUGGUGUUGGUGGUCACCUGGAUGUGUGGGAUAGGGAGGAAUGGGGGCUUCAGCAGCUCCCCUCAUAGGACCAUCAAGCAGCCAGCUCUUUCCAGCCUUUGCCUGGCCUCUCCCCAUUGACCCCCCAUGGGGCAGUCCCUGUACAGACUGUGAGCUUCCCUGACCUUGGCCCUGCCAAUCCCUCCACCCCAGGAAAUGAUUAUCUUUUUGUUCAUCUAAUAAAGUUUUUAAGAAAUUAUUAUUGAGAUGACAUACACAUAAAAUUUCAAAGCGAACCAUUCAGUGGCACAAUAAACUUUACUGAGCUUCAAAACAUUUAAUCACCCUGAAAGAAAACUCCUUACCCAUUAAGCAAUCCCUUCCUAUUCCUGCCUCUACUCUGGCCCCUAGCAGCCAGCUAUUGGUUGUAUCCCUCUCUAUGAAUUUGUUUAUUUUGGAUAUCUCAUAUUAGUGGAAUCAUACAAUAUACAAGCUAUUAGCUGAUUUCUUUCACUUAGCAUAAUAUUUUUGAGGUUUAUUAAUGCUGUGUAGCAUGUGUCAGUGCUUCAUUUCUUUUUAUGGCUAAAUAAUAUUAUAUUGCAAUUAUAUGCAAUUUGUUUGCCCACUUAUCCAUUGAUGGAAGGUCUUUCCACCUUUUAGCUCUUGUGAAUGGUGCUUAGAGCUGCUAGCACUAUUCACAAUAGCCAAGACAUGGAAGCAACCUAAGUAUACAUUGACAGAUGAGUGGGUAAAGAAGAUGUGUUUUAUAUAUGUGCUUGUGUUUUAGACACACACACACACACACACACACACACACACAAUGGAAUAUUACUCAGCCAUAAAAAAGAAUGAAAUAACACCACGUGUAGUGACAUGGAUGCAACUGGAGAUUAUUAUAUUAAGUGAAAUAAGUCAGAAAGCAAAAGAUAAAUACCAUAUAUAUCACUUAUAUGUGCAAUCUAAAAUAUGACACAGGAGUUCCCAUCAUGGCGCAGCGGAAACGAAUCCAACUAGGAACCAUGAGGCUGUGGGUUCGAUCCCUGGCUUCACUCAGUGGGUUAAGGAUCUGGCGUUGCUGUGGCUGUGGUGUAGGCCAGCAGGUGUAGCUCCAAUUAGACCCCUAGCCUGGGAACCUCCAUAUGCCAUGGGUGUGGCCCUAAAAAGACAAAAGACAAAAAAUAAAAUAAAAUAAAAUAAAAUACGACACAAAUAGGAGUUCCCAUUGUGGCACAGUGGAAACAAAUCCGACUAGUAUCCACGAGGAUGUGGGUUCAAUCCCUGGCCUCUCUCAGUGGGUCGGGGAUCUGGCAUUGCCGUGAGCUAUGGUGUAGGUCGCAGAUGCGGCUCGGAUCCCGCAUUGCUGUGGCUCUGGUGGAGGCCGGCAGCUACAGCUCCGAUUAGACCCCUAGCCUGGAAACCUCCAUAUGCCUGGGGUGCAGCCCUAGAAAAGAUUUAAAAAAAAUGAAUAUAAUCCAGGAUGAACCAUCAUAUGUAUACAUAUACACACAUAUAUACUUGUGUGUGUGUGUAUUCACUACUAUUACUUCUUUUUUGACUUAAAGAGAAAUGAAAAUGAAAAUUUUUCCACAGCCCUAAGUGCAGCGGUGGUCUUCUGUCUGGGCACCUAGCAUCUCACGGAGAAGCCAUCAGCCCUAAGUAGAAGUAACAGGAGGACACCUAGCACAUUGUCACAGAAGCAAGUCCCCUUUAUGAUCCCACUGUCAAAAACAAUGCAGUUAAGUGUUGUUACUCCGAACUGGGGCUGGGUUCAGGGGAAUCAGCGGCCCCUCUGCCUCCUUCCUUGGCAGUGAUGCUGCUCCUGGCCCAGCACUGCCUGAGCUCAUGCAGCACGAUCCCUAGGCUUCUGGGGUAUAAGGGCAGGUGCUGGGGCUCAGCUUCAGGCCCAGCUCUGCCACUGACAUUCAACCAAGGUUUUGGGAUUUUUAUAAAGUCCAAUCUACCCUCUGACAUAGAGGGAAGGCUGUCCCAAAUUGGUGAGCAUCCUGCUCUUUUUCAUGCUGGGACAGCUGAGAACAGACACGUGGUCAUAUUUGUCUUGCUGCCUCUAAGUCCAAUCAUUACAUCAUUUCCCACAGAGUAGCUGACCCCAACAGAGUCACCUCCCAGGACUCUCUGCCCUGGAACCCAUGAGAGGCUGGCCUUGUUACCCCCGACCCUGUGGGAAAAUCUUGGGAGCCCACCUGGGGGCGCAUUCCACCACGAAGACAGGAUCAAAGAAAUCUGCCUGCAGGGAGAGACCAGAAUGAAGGCCAGACCAAGAGAAAGCAUCAGCAGUUGUCCCUGUGCUGUGACACAGGCAUCGAGGUGGCAGCCCCUUCAUGUUGGGUGGGGGCCACCUUGCAAGGUACCUCCUGCCCAAGGUCCCAGGAGCACCCUUAUUCUCUUCUCAUUCUUUCUGUCAGUCCAGCACCUAUGUUUCUGAGCUGUCUGAGAGCCUGGUUAAGCAAAUUGUUGGGCAAACUGGAGCAGAUUGUGGACACCAAUUAAUUCCACCCCUCAGUGAUGAGUGUGGCCACUCUGUGUGCAGCCGGACUCAGCCCAUCCCUCAUACAUGUGAGCAGCUGGAGCCCCAGUUAUAUCGCAAGAGUUGUCUCUGAGGCUUCUCCAUGCCCAACUUUUGCUUUUCUACAGCAACUCACUAUUGUAACCAAGAAGAAGCCUGUGAGGCCUUCCCCAGCAGACCCCUACUCAUGUCCUCGGACUGCCUUUUUGUCUAUAGAAAAACUCCUGAAAAUUUCAAAUUAAUCAGAGAAAUGAGAAAAUACAGAGAACAAGGAAAACAGAUAAGCCUGGCAGAGUAACAAUCGUCUAGCCUUUCAACAAAGCCAAGGAGUUCCUGUUAUGGCUCAGCAGUGACAAAUCCAACUAGUAUCCAUGAGAACACAGGUUCAAUCCCUGGCCUUGCUCAGUGGGUUAAGGAUCUGGCGUUGCUGUGAGCUGUGGUGUAGGUCGCAGAUGCGGCUUGAAGCUGGCAUUGCUAUGGCUGUGGCGUAGGCCUACAACUGCAGCUCUGAUUCAAUCCCUAGCCUGGGAACUUACAUAUGCUGUGAGUGCAGCCCUAAAAAGAAAAAAAACAAAACAGUCAAGGACCUUUAGUUCUUCCUCAAGGACUAUGGAUAAUAUUCUGAGCCCUGUCCUUGGAGGUGUUGUUCAGGUGCCGAAGCCCUCACCAGUGGAAGAAGUCAAAUCUAUGGGGCCCACAAGCACGAAGACCUCAGACAGGUAGGAAUCAGAAGGUUGAUGACACUGACUCCCAAUUACCUCACCACCAACCAAUCAGGAAAGUGUCUACGAGCUGACAUCACACCCUGCUCCUCAAACACUCUAAGACUCCUCACCACCCCCUCCAAAGGGGGCCAUGGUCCUUGAGGCACUAGCGGGCUGUGUUCCCCUCCUGGCCCUGCAAUGAAAGCCACGUUUCUGUUUCCUCCAACUCUGUCUCCACGUUUCUGUUCGGCAUCGGUGUACAGAGACGGCUGACAUUCCAGCAACACUAUGGCAUAGUCACCCCGUGUCUGUGAAGUUCCUCAAAUAUAAACUGCUCCUCUGUCAGUCUCUGAGACGGGUGCACACACAAGCCUGGAAACAGCUCCCUGGUGCCCUUCCUCAUUCCCUCUACACUCCUUUCUCGCGGAAACUGGGUGUGGAUGGGCCAGGAGCCCAUUCCUAGGAUCCUGGAGCCCCCCGGCCGUAGCCUGGUCUCAGAGACUCCUCUGCCCAUAUGGACCCCCGUCCCCUCCCAGGGAAGUCCUCCUGGGCCAGGACGGCCACGACAACCAACUAGGAGAUGAUCCCUCCCUCUCCUGUCCUGAUGGUCUCCACACUCAAGGGAGUAUGUCCAGGGAAGGUUUCUGGGCUUCUCCUGUACGGGUUGGCGUGGCUUGAAGCUGUCCUACCCAGGGGUCACGCCACGAUCCUCUGCCAACACUCCACUUUGGACCCCUUCCUCUUCCUCAUAGCUCGGGCUUCUGGGCCCUGGGGCUCCAGAUGAUGUCACCAUGGUGUACAUUCCUGCCUCCAUGGGCCCCUUCCCUUGAGUCAAUAUUGAUCUGGCUCCCUCAGCCUCUUCCUUCUUCCCCUUUCCUAUCCAGGGCCCCUUCUCCCCACAGAGCC